CUUCCUCUGAAAAAUGUUUUCAACCAAGAGAGAAAAAUGGUUUUCAUGCCUAUAAGAAUUUACCCUUUACUCCAAAAGACACUCACUCAUAGGUAGUGUUUGGUUCACUGGAAUAAAGGUGGAAAAUGGUAUGAUUAUUCCAUUAAAAUAUCCAUUAUCAUGUUUGGUUCACUAUAAAAGUGAUGCAAAAUACAUUGCAAAAUAUUUUUUAAUAAGCAAACAUAUUUGUGUGUUAUAGUUUACUCCUUGUGUUCAAUUGUAAAUUCCAAGUUCCAACUUUUUUAGUUGCACGUAUGAUUAUCCUUGCAUUCCAAAUGCUAGUUUUUGCUUUAAUUUUCAGGACAACAGUUCAUAAGUGCGAGAGACAACCAAUUAUGGAAUUCUAGAUCAACUGCCAAACAAAUUUCAGUUUCUGAACUGAAGUACACAUUGAGGAGACUCUUCCGGAAUUUAUUUAUUUAUUUGUUUUUCAUGGUAAAGCAUUUCCAAAAUUUGUGACAGGAUAAUACAGCUAUGAAAAUUUGUUGUCUUCUUUAAUUAGAAUACUUCAAUUAGCUGAUGGCCCAUUAUGGGUCUAAAAAUAAACAGAUUUACUAGUGAUGGAAAGAUAUGAAUACUGCAAUGUAUUGCCCCAUUCAAUUGAUUGAAGGAUGUAAAGUUGCAUAAGAAGAAAGGAGACAUCUAGUUUACAUUCCAAUUAACAAAGAGAUAGAGACUGUGAAGAGUUACUACAACAAGCUAAGCGCUCUUAAUUUGGAGGUGAAAGCAAAGAAACAAGAGGUUUUCAUCAGUUCCUUAGGAGAAUCUUACUGGCCGCACAUCACACAAAAAUGUACAAUGGUCUCACCCUGGUCCAUCAUGACUUGAGCUGCAUGGGGGCUGACUUCAACUAACAGUUUCAACAUCGACCUUGCCCUUCAUGACUGCAAGAUGGAGUGGGUUUCUACCAUCUUUGCCACGAGCUAGGCACAUGUCAAAAUCUACUGGGAUCAACGCUUGUACAACCUCGAUGUGCCCCUUUGCUGAUGUUAAGUGCAGGGCGAGCAUUGUGAAGCGUCCAAAACUUCAGCAAGAUCUGGAUUUAGAUGUAGAACUUCUAUCACAAAUUCUUCAUGCCCACGCAAUGCAGCCACAUGCAAAGGACUCCCACCGAAGCAGCCAAAGAGAGCUAGAGAGAAUGGAACAGAAGCUUCAAGAAGCAGCAAUAAAAGGCAACGUUACAUUAUUACAUCAAAUACUCAGAGAAGAUCCACUAGUGUUGAUAGAGUGAACUUUGGUAGGUUUGGUUGGAGUCCUGUGCAUGUGGCUGCAUUGCGGUGGGCAUGCAGACUUUGUGAGGGAAGUUUUGCAUCGACAUCCAGAUCUUGCUGACGUUCUGGACUCUUCACAAUGUUUGUCCCUUCACCUAGCAUCAGUAAAGGGGCAUGUUGAGGUUGUAAAAGCAUUGAUAUCAGUAGAUCUUGACAUGUGCCUUGCUUGUGGCAAUGAUGGUAAAAGUGCAUUACAUCUUGCAGUCAUGUAGGGCAAGGUCGAUGUGUUGAAAGUGUGUUCAAGCCAAUUCUGAAGCAACUGAAGUUGUGAUGGACUGAGGCCUUAAACUACUUGCUUACUAAUGCUUAGUGCCGUUUUGGCAACGCAACAAAAAGCUGUGUUUUGAGCAACUUCCCAAAAACACCAACCCUUGCAAAAAAGCACUGAUACCAUUUGGGAAGACCCAAAAAAGCCACUUACAAAUUUACCAAACUACUCUCUGGAACAUUAUAAUUAAUUAAUUAAAAAAAUUGUUGAGAUGCAAAAAGUAAGGAUAUUUUGGUCACUUUAGAGUGAUGUGACACUUUUAAAAAAUAUUAAACCAAAAAGCAAAAAGGUUAGUUUUUUAUCAACUUUUCAAAUCAUUUCCAAAAAAGUCAAAAAACUUGAUAAAAAGUCAAAAGUCAACUUUUUACCAAUUUCUCAAAACACCUUAGUAAUGCGACGCUAGAUGUACACAUAAAAAAUGCUAGCAAGUACAAAACAUUGGACAUUCUAGCACAAAUUAGAAAGGAUGUGGAAAAUCCAAAUGAUAUUAAAACUCUGAAAAACCGGAGCCAUGAGUGGCAAGGAUGUUGGACAGUCUGAGUGGUUGGCAAAGAAAAAGGAGACAAUAAUAUUGGUGGCAACACUCAUUCCAACAAUAGCUUUCCAAGCUGGGGUGAGCCCUCCGAGUGGUGUUUGGCACAACUCAGACGGACACAGAGCUGGAGAAGCUGUAAUGGCUUAUAAUUAUCCAGAUUCAUAUCCAUAUUUCAUUCGUGCUGGCACAGUAGGAUUUGUUGCAUCUCUAAGCACAAUCCUGUUGCUCAUAAGUGGAUUGUCAUUCAAGAGAAGGAUUUUCAUGUGGAUUCUAGCCGCGAUCAUGUGGUUGACCAUUACAUCAAUGGCAGUAACAUAUGCAAUUUCUAUUGUUGUGAUCACACCAAAAAUUGACAGAGAACCACUUAGUCAUACAAUUACAGUUGCAAUAAUUUUGUGGUGCGGUGUAAUGGCAAUUCUACUCUUACUACAUACAGCUCAUUUAGUGAAAAAGACAGUUGGCGAAUGGAGUGGACAUUGGUCACCACCAAGAGAAUUCAAAAAAUCAAUUCACUUGAACUACACUAGGGUGGCUGAAAAAAAUAUUUAAGUUAGUUUAACUGAUUCGUGUUAAUAUUUGAUACUUAUGUUGUUUUUAUCUUUAUAUUUGAUCUUUAUGUAUAAUGUGUGCAAGUCUGUUAUCUUUUGGAU